AUUGAACGCUGGCGGCAGGCCUAACACAUGCAAGUCGAACGGUAACAGGAAGAAGCUUGCUUCUUUGCUGACGAGUGGCGGACGGGUGAGUAAUGUCUGGGAAACUGCCUGAUGGAGGGGGAUAACUACUGGAAACGGUAGCUAAUACCGCAUACCGUCGCAAGACCAAAAAGGGGGACCUUCGGGCCUCUUGCCAUCGGAUGUGCCCCGAUGGGAUUAGCUAGUAGGUGGGGUAACGGCUCACCUAGGCGACGAUCCCUAGCUGGUCUGAGAGGAUGACCAGCCACACUGGAACUGAGACACGGUCCAGACUCCUACGGGAGGCAGCAGUGGGGAAUAUUGCACAAUGGGCGCAAGCCUGAUGCAGCCAUGCCGCGUGUAUGAAGAAGGCCUUCGGGUUGUAAAGUACUUUCAGCGGGGAGGAAGGGAGUAAAGUUAAUACCUUUGCUCAUUGGCGUUACCCGCAGAAGAAGCACCGGCUAACUCCGUG
rnacentral:rRNA from 1 species